UGACGGGGUGGGAAGUGCUCCUGAGUUAAUAAAUUAUAAACAUACCUUUUGUUAAGACUGUGAAGUUGGUGGGGUGGAAAUUAAAGAGAUGACUGACCAAGGAAAUGGAAAUAGUUUGUUGAAAAGGUACAUAUGUAAGAGGUAUAUUUAACAGGGAUAUGAGAGGUAUAUACGUGUAUAAGAGAUAUAUUUAACAGGGAUAUAAGAGAUAUAUACAGGUAUAAGAGAUAUAUUUAACAGGGAUAUAAGAGGUAUAUACAGGUAUAAGGUACAUUAUACAGGGA